GCACGCCGCUCAGUCAGAGUUGAUCCGUGGCUCAGGACGAACGCUGGCGGCGUGCUUAACACAGUGCUAAGUCGUAACGGAAAGGCCCUGCUUGCAGGGUACUCGAGUGGCGAACGGGUGAGUAACACGUGGGUGAGUCUGCCCUGCACUUCGGGAUAAGCUUGGGAAACUGGGUCUAAUACCGGAUAGGAGGCCAUCUUUAGUGUGGUGGUUGGAAAGUUUUUCGGUGUAGGAUGAGCUCGCGGCCUAUCAGCUUGUUGUGGGUAAUGGCCUACCAAGGCGGCGACGGGUAGCCGGCCUGAGAGGGUGUACGGCCACAUUGGGACUGAGAUACGGCCCAG
rnacentral:rRNA from 1 species